AUUGAACGCUGGCGGCAGGCCUAACACAUGCAAGUCGAACGAGUGGCGGACGGGUGAGUAAUGUCUGGGAAACUGCCUUAUGGAGGGGGAUAACUACUGGAAACGGUAGAUAAUACCGCAUACCAUCAGAUGUGCCCAGAUGGGAUUAGCUUGUUGGUGGGGUAACGUCUCACCAAGGCGACGAUCCCUAGCUGGUCUGAGAGGAUGACCAGGCACACUGGAACGGAGACACGGGCCAGACUCCUACGGGAGGCAGCAGUGGGGAAUAUUGCACAAGGGGCGCAAGCCUGAUGCAGACAUGGCGCGUGAAUGAAGAAGGCCUUCGGGUUGUAAAGUACUUUCAGCGGGGAGGCGUUACCCGCAGAAGAAGCACCGGCUAACUCCGUGCCAGCCGCCGCGGUAAUAC
rnacentral:rRNA from 1 species